GUGCCAGCCGCCGCGGUAAUACGUAGGGGGCAAACGUUGCUCGGAAUUACUGGGCGUAAAGGGUGAGUAGGCGGCUGUGCAAGUCAGGGAUGAAAUCCCGCGGCUUAACCGCGGAACUGUCUUUGAAACUGCACGGCUUGAGGACAGUAGAAGAGAAUGGAAUUCCCGGUGGAGCGGUGAAAUGCGUAGAUAUCGGGAGGAACACCUGAGGCGAAAGCGAUUCUCUAUACUGCUCCUGACGCUGAGUCACGAAAGCCAGGGGAGCAAACGGGAUUAGAAACCCUAGUAGUCC
rnacentral:rRNA from 1 species